rnacentral:rRNA from 1 species
CUGGCGGCACUCCUAACACAUGCACGUCGAACGCAGUAGCAAUACUGAGUGGCAAACGGGUGAGUAUAAUGUGGGAAUCUGCCUUUUGGUCUGGAAUAACACGGGGAAACUUGUGCUAAUACCGGAUAAGCCUUUACAGGGAAAGUUUUAAUGCCGAAAGAUGAGCCCGCACUUGAUUAGCUAGUUGGUAAGGUAAAAGCUUACCAAGGCA